GAUGAACGCUGGCGGCGUGCCUAACACAUGCAAGUCGAACGGUGAAGGCGGAGCUUGCUCUGCUGGAUCAUUGGCGAACGGGUGAGUAACACGUGAGCAAUCUGCACCUGACACAGGGAUAAGAGCUGGAAACGGCGUCUCAUACUCGAUAUGAGCUGCGAAGGCAUAUUGAGCAGCUGGAAAGAACUGCGGUGCGGGAUGAGAUCGAGGCUUAUCAGCUUGUUAGUGAGGUAACGGCUCACCAAGGUGUCGAAGGGUAGCCUGCCUGGGAGGGGGACCGGCCACACUGCUACUGAGACACGGCCCAGACUGCUACGGUAGGCAGCAGUGGAAAAUAUUGCGCAGUGGGCGAAAGCGUGAUGCAGCAGCGCCGCGUGAGGAAAAACGUCCUACGGGUUAUAAACCUCUGUUUGCGGAGAAGAAGCCAACUUGACGGUACCUGCAGAGAAAGCGCCGGCUAACUACGUG
rnacentral:rRNA from 1 species